UUAGGAUCUGGCAUCGGAGAGGUUAGCAUUCACACAGGAACAAAUACAGAAGAUGACAGAUAACCCGAACGAAUAUCAGGUGGAUUACGCACUUCUGGUAGGAGGAACCAAUAUUGAGGAGUCGGCGAAGCAAUGUGAAGGAUACUUUAAGUACAAAAUACACGGAAGACCAGAGCAGAAGCGCUAUACAUCACAUGACUGCGCAAUUUACCCAAAAACUUCCUAAUGGGCAAAACGCGCCUUGUUUUUGGAGUGGAGAAAGGGCGGCUUUUUAUUCCAUAGGCGGCAAUAUUUUCACGCUAACCAGAAUUCUAUAUUGUCGUCCUUGGAGCUGGUCCUCUAAAUGAACACUCCGAAUAAAUCACAAGGAAAGUGUAUGCUAAAAAUGAAAGAAAUUGACCUGUGCAAUGAAACAUUGUGGAAUAAAAACGGUAUGGCCAUAUGU
rnacentral:lncRNA from 1 species